rnacentral:rRNA from 1 species
UAGAGUUUGAUCCUGGCUCAGAUUGAACGCUGGCGGCAGGCCUAACACAUGCAAGUCGAACGGUAACAGGAAGCAGCUUGCUGCUUCGCUGACGAGUGGCGGACGGGUGAGUAAUGUCUGGGAAACUGCCUGAUGGAGGGGGAUAACUACUGGAAACGGUAGCUAAUACCGCAUAACGUCGCAAGACCAAAGAGGGGGACCUUCGGGCCUCUUGCCAUCGGAUGUGCCCAGAUGGGAUUAGCUAGUAGGUGGGGUAACGGCUCACCUAGGCGACGAUCCCUAGCUGGUCUGAGAGGAUGACCAGCCACACUGGAACUGAGACACGGUCCAGACUCCUACGGGAGGCAGCAGUGGGGAAUAUUGCACAAUGGGCGCAAGCCUGAUGCAGCCAUGCCGCGUGUAUGAAGAAGGCCUUCGGGUUGUAAAGUACUUUCAGCGGGGAGGAAGGCGAUAAGGUUAAUAACCUUGUCGAUUGACGUUACCCGCAGAAGAAGCACCGGCUAACUCCGUGCCAGCAGCCACGGUAAUACGGAGGGUGCAAGCGUUAAUCGGAAUUACUGGGCGUAAAGCGCACGCAGGCGGUCUGUCAAGUCGGAUGUGAAAUCCCCGGGCUCAACCUGGGAACUGCAUUCGAAACUGGCAGGCUAGAGUCUUGUAGAGGGGGGUAGAAUUCCAGGUGUAGCGGUGAAAUGCGUAGAGAUCUGGAGGAAUACCGGUGGCGAAGGCGGCCCCCUGGACAAAGACUGACGCUCAGGUGCGAAAGCGUGGGGAGCAAACAGGAUUAGAUACCCUGGUAGUCCACGCCGUAAACGAUGUCGACUUGGAGGUUGUGCCCUUGAGGCGUGGCUUCCGGAGCUAACGCGUUAAGUCGACCGCCUGGGGAGUACGGCCGCAAGGUUAAAACUCAAAUGAAUUGACGGGGGCCCGCACAAGCGGUGGAGCAUGUGGUUUAAUUCGAUGCAACGCGAAGAACCUUACCUACUCUUGACAUCCAGAGAACUUAGCAGAGAUGCUUUGGUGCCUUCGGGAACUCUGAGACAGGUGCUGCAUGGCUGUCGUCGGCUCGUGUUGUGAAAUGUUGGGUUAAGUCCCGCAACGAGCGCAACCCUUAUCCUUUGUUGCCAGCGGUCCGGCCGGGAACUCAAAGGAGACUGCCAGUGAUAAACUGGAGGAAGGUGGGGAUGACGUCAAGUCAUCAUGGCCCUUACGAGUAGGGCUACACACGUGCUACAAUGGCGCAUACAAAGAGAAGCGACCUCGCGAGAGCAAGCGGACCUCAUAAAGUGCGUCGUAGUCCGGAUUGGAGUCUGCAACUCGACUCCAUGAAGUCGGAAUCGCUAGUAAUCGUGGAUCAGAAUGCCACGGUGAAUACGUUCCCGGGCCUUGUACACACCGCCCGUCACACCAUGGGAGUGGGUUGCAAAAGAAGUAGGUAGCUUAACCUCCGGGAGGGCGCUUACCACUUUGUGAUUCACGACUGGGGUGAAGUCGUAACAAGGUAGCCGUA